rnacentral:snoRNA from 1 species
AUUGUAUGAUGUCAACCUCAGUUCUGCUUCCGAACGAGAGCAACUAACCUCUUGUGGACAACUUUCUUACCAAAAAUUUUUUCUGAUCU